rnacentral:misc_RNA from 1 species
AAAAAAACCGGAUUCUAGAGACUUGCUGAUAAAUAAUAAAAAUUAGGCAGACAAUUCAACAAGAAAGGCGUAUAAAAUGGAAGUCAUCAAACAUCCCAGGUGCCUCCUCCAUGUCAAACCCACCAAAGAGUUCGCCUCCAGCUCACAUAGUUCUUACACAUUACGAACCAAUUCUUUUUCGGCUGAAUUACGCAUCUGUGCUGUCUGGAUUUUCAGUCUCCAUUGGUUCUCCAGAUGC